AAUGGGGGAAACCCUGAUGCAGCGACGCCGCGUGAAGGAAGAAGUAUCUCGGUAUGUAAACUUCUAUCAGCAGGGAAGAUAGUGACGGUACCUGACUAAGAAGCCCCGGCUAACUACGUGCCAGCAGCCGCGGUAAUACGUAGGGGGCAAGCGUUAUCCGGAUUUACUGGGUGUAAAGGGAGCGUAGACGGACUGGCAAGUCUGAUGUGAAAGGCGGGGGCUCAACCCCUGGACUGCAUUGGAAACUGUUAGUCUUGAGUGCCGGAGAGGUAAGCGGAAUUCCUAGUGUAGCGGUGAAAUGCGUAGAUAUUAGGAGGAACACCAGUGGCGAAGGCGGCUUACUGGACGGUAACUGACGUUGAGGCUCGAAAGCGUGGGGAGCAAA
rnacentral:rRNA from 1 species